AAUGUUGGGUUGCCAAAAUGGAGCAACACCACCAUCAGGAGGUUCAUAAUAAUGACCCUGUUCUUGAUGACAUUUUGCUUUCUGAUGUUGAGAUAUCAGAUGCAAUUGAAAAUGAAAAAGUUGUAAAUAAAAUCUUCAAGAUAUACAAUGUGGAUGGUGCUGUUUGUGGACGUCUAGAGGUGCCGUUGCAAAAAAAAUGGAGAUAUUAAUCAUUUUGUUUUUAUCUAAAGGUUAGAAUCCACCUGUUGCGUUACAAAAUAAUCACAUGAAGGUAUUGUGCUUUGGACAAAGGUUGUGUUUCCCGUUAUCUAUGUAAUUUUAAUUAUUAAUUUUUUCAUUUUAAAAUGUAUACAUUACCAGAAUACACCUUUCAUUUUUAUUCAUUA